GACGAACGCUGGCGGCGUGCUUAACACAUGCAAGUCGAGCGGUAAGGCCUCUUCGGGGGUACACGAGCGGCGAACGGGUGAGUAACACGUGGGUGACCUGCCCUCAGCUCUGGGAUAAGCCUGGGAAACUGGGUCUAAUACCGGAUAUGACCUUUCCUCGCAUGGGGUUUGGUGGAAAGUUUUUUCGGCUGGGGAUGGGCCCGCGGCCUAUCAGCUUGUUGGUGGGGUGAUGGCCUACCAAGGCGACGACGGGUAGCCGGCCUGAGAGGGCGACCGGCCACACUGGGACUGAGGCACGGCCCAGGCUCCUACGGGAGGCAGCAGGGGGGAAGAUUGCGCAAUGGGCGGAAGCCUGACGCAGCGACGGCGCGUGGGGGAGGACGGCCUUCGGGUUGUAAACCUCUUUCGACCCCGACGAAUUUGGACGGUAGGGGUAGAAGAAGCACCGGCCAACUACGUG
rnacentral:rRNA from 1 species